GGUUAAGCGACUAAGCGUACACGGUGGAUGCCCGGCAGUCAGAGGCGAUGAAGGACGUGCUAAUCUGCGAAAAGCGUCGGUAAGGUGAUAUGAACCGUUAUAACCGGCGAUGUCCGAAUGGGGAAACCCAGUGCAAUUCGUUGCACUAUCGUUAACUGAAUACAUAGGUUAACGAGGCGAACCGGGGAACUGAAACAUCUAAGUACCCCGAGAAAAGAAAUCAACCGAGACCCCAGUAGCGGCGAGCGAACGGGGAGCAGCCCAGAGUCUGAAUCAGCUUGUGUGUUAGUGGAACGGUCUGGAAAGUCCGACGGUACAGGGUGAUAGUCCCGUACACCAAAAUGCACAGGUUGUGAACUCGAAGAGUAGGGCGGGACACGUGGUAUCCUGUCUGAAUAUGGGGGACCAUCCUCCAAGGCUAAAUACUCCUGACUGACCGAUAGUGAACCAGUACCGUGAGGGAAAGGCGAAAAGAACCCCGGCGAGGGAGUGAAAAGAACCUGAAACCGUGUACGUACAAGCAGUGGGAGCACCUUCGGGUGUGACUGCGUACCUUUGUAUAAUGGGUCAGCGACUUAUAUUCUGUAGCAAGGUUAACCGUAUAGGGAGCCGCAGGGAAACCGAGUCUUAACUGGGCGUUAAGUUGCAGGGUAUAGACCCGAAACCCGGUGAUCUAGCCAUGGGCAGGUUGAAGGUUGGGUAACACUAACUGGAGGACCGAACCGACUAAUGUUGAAAAAUUAGCGGAUGACUUGUGGCUGGGGUGAAAGGCCAAUCAAACCGGGAGAUAGCUGGUUCUCCCCGAAAGCUAUUUAGGUAGCGCCUCGUGAACUCAUCUUCGGGGUAGAGCACUGUUUCGGCUAGGGGUCAUCCCGACUUACCAACCCGAUGCAAACUACGAAUACCGAAGAAUGUUAUCACGGGAGACACACGGCGGGUGCUAACGUCCGUCGUGAAGAGGGAAACAACCCAGACCGCCAGCUAAGGUCCCAAAGUCAUGGUUAGUGGAAACGAUGUGGGAAGGCACAGACAGCCGGAUGUUGGCUUAGAAGCAGCCAUCAUUUAAAGAAAGCGUAAUAGCUCACUGGUCGAGUCGGCCUGCGCGGAAGAUGUAACGGGGCUAAACCAUGCACCGAAGCUGCGGCAGCGACACUAUGUGUUGUUGGGUAGGAGCGUUCUGUAAGCCUGCGAAGGUGUGCUGUGAGGCAUGCUGGAGGUAUCAGAAGU
rnacentral:rRNA from 1 species